UUAAGUGACUAAGCGUACACGGUGGAUGCCUUGGCAGUUGGAGGCGAUGAAGGACGUACUAACUUGCGAUAAGCCUAGUUGAGCCAGUAAGAGGCACUUGAGACUAGGAUUUCCGAAUGGGGAAACCCGGCCCUUUGGGUCAUCAUGCAGUGAAUACAUAGCUGUAUGAAGCGAACGCGGAGAACUGAAACAUCUAAGUACCCGUAGGAAAAGAAAUCAACCGAGAUUCCGAAAGUAGCGGCGAGCGAAAUCGGAUUAGCCCUUAAGCUUUAAUGUAGUUAGUGGAACAUUCUGGAAAGUAUGACGAUACAGGGUGACAGUCCCGUACACGACAACUUAUUUAAAGUGAAAUCGAGUAGGUCGGAGCACGUGAAACUUUGACUGAAUAUGGGGGGACCAUCCUCCAAGGCUAAAUACUCCCAACUGACCGAUAGUGAACCAGUACCGUGAGGGAAAGGCGAAAAGAACCCCUGUGAGGGGAGUGAAAUAGAACCUGAAACCGUGUACGUACAAGCAGUAGGAGCCCCUCGAGGGUGACUGCGUACCUUUUGUAUAAUGGGUCAGCGACUUAUAUUCUGUAGCAAGGUUAACCAUUUAGGGGAGCCGUAGCGAAAGCGAGUCUUAACUGGGCGCUUAAGUUGCAGGGUAUAGACCCGAAACCCGGUGAUCUAGCCAUGGGCAGGUUGAAGGUCAGGUAACACUGACUGGAGGACCGAACCCACUAACGUUGAAAAGUUAGGGGAUGACCUGUGGCUAGGAGUGAAAGGCUAAUCAAACCGGGAGAUAGCUGGUUCUCCCCGAAAUCUAUUUAGGUAGAGCCUCGGACGAAUACUUACGGGGGUAGAGCACUGUUAAGGCUAGGGGGUCAUCCCGACUUACCAACCCUUUGCAAACUCCGAAUACCGUAAAGUACUAUCCGGGAGACACACGGUGGGUGCUAACGUCCAUCGUGGAGAGGGAAACAACCCAGACCGUCAGCUAAGGUCCCAAAGUGUAUGUUAAGUGGGAAACGAUGUGGGAAGGCUAAAACAGCUAGGAGGUUGGCUUAGAAGCAGCCAUCCUUUAAAGAAAGCGUAAUAGCUCACUAGUCGAGUCGGCCUGCGCGGAAGAUGUAACGGGGCUAAACAUACCACCGAAGCUACGGCUGCAUACUUAGUAUGCGGGGUAGGGGAGCGUUCUGUAAGCGGCUGAAGGUGAACUGUAAGGUUUGCUGGACGUAUCAGAAGUGCGAAUGCUGACAUGAGUAACGAUAAUGCGGGUGAAAAACCCGCACGCCGGAAGACCAAGGGUUCCUAUCCCAUGUUAAUCAGGGUAGGGUGAGUCGACCCCUAAGGCGAGGCUGAAGAGCGUAGUCGAUGGGAAACGGGUUAAUAUUCCCGUACUUGGUAUAAAUGCGAUGGGGGGACGGAGCAGGCUAGGCAAGCAUGGCGUUGGUUGUCCAUGUGAAAGACUGUAGGCUGGUGACUUAGGAAAAUCCGGGUCGCUAAGGCUGAGAGUCGAGACGAGCCACCACGGUGGUGAAGUUGUUGAUGCCCUACUUCCAGGAAAAGCCUCUAAGCUUCAGUUUAUACCGAAUCGUACCCUAAACCGACACAGGUGGUCAGGUAGAGAAUACUAAGGCGCUUGAGAGAACUCGGGUGAAGGAACUAGGCAAAAUUGUACCGUAACUUCGGGAGAAGGUACGCUCUUACUUGUGAAGACUUCGCGUCGUAAGCAGGCGAGAGCCGCAGUGACCAGGUGGCUGGGACUGUUUAUUAAAAACACAGCACUGUGCAAAAUCGUAAGAUGACGUAUACGGUGUGACACCUGCCCGGUGCCGGAAGGUUAAUUGAUGGGGUUAGCUUAGGCGAAGCUCUUGAUCGAAGCCCCGGUAAACGGCGGCCGUAACUAUAACGGUCCUAAGGUAGCGAAAUUCCUUGUCGGGUAAGUUCCGACCUGCACGAAUGGUGUAACCAUGGCCACGCUGUCUCCACCCGAGACUCAGUGAAAUUGAAAUCGCAGUGAAGAUGCUGUGUACCCGCGGCUAGACGGAAAGACCCCGUGAACCUUUACUACAGCUUGGCACUGAACAUUGACCCUACAUGUGUAGGAUAGGUGGGAGGCUUUGAAGCGCAGUCGCUAGAUUGCGUGGAGCCGUCCUUGAAAUACCACCCUUGUAGUGUUGAUGUUCUAACUUAGGCCCCUAAUCGGGGUUGAGGACAGUGCCUGGUGGGUAGUUUGACUGGGGCGGUCUCCUCCCAAAGAGUAACGGAGGAGCACGAAGGUUGGCUAAGUACGGUCGGACAUCGUACGGUUAGUGUAAUGGUAGAAGCCAGCUUAACUGCGAGACAGACACGUCGAGCAGGUACGAAAGUAGGUCAUAGUGAUCCGGUGGUUCUGAAUGGAAGGGCCAUCGCUCAACGGAUAAAAGGUACUCCGGGGAUAACAGGCUGAUACCGCCCAAGAGUUCAUAUCGACGGCGGUGUUUGGCACCUCGAUGUCGGCUCAUCACAUCCUGGGGCUGAAGUCGGUCCCAAGGGUAUGGCUGUUCGCCAUUUAAAGUGGUACGCGAGCUGGGUUUAGAACGUCGUGAGACAGUUCGGUCCCUAUCUGCCGUGGGCGUUUGAGAAUUGAGAGGGGCUGCUCCUAGUACGAGAGGACCGGAGUGGACGAACCGCUGGUGUUCGGGUUGUCAUGCCAAUGGCAUUGCCCGGUAGCUACGUUCGGAAUCGAUAACCGCUGAAAGCAUCUAAGCGGGAAGCGAGCCUCGAGAUGAGUUCUCACUUUAACUUUAAGUUAACUGAAGGGCCGUUGAAGACUACAACGUUGAUAGGCGAGAUGUGGAAGUGGUGUGAGCCAUUGAGCUAACUCGUACUAAUUACCCGUGAGGCUUAACCAU
rnacentral:rRNA from 1 species